GAGGGAAAGGUGAAAAGCACCCCGGUGAGGGGAGUGAAAUAGUACCUGAAACCGCGCGUCUACAAGCAGUUGGAGCACUAUGCCCUUCGGGGAAUGUGCAACAGCGUACCUUUUGCAUAAUGGGCCUGCGAGUUACGGUAUGUCGCAAGGUUAAGCCGUUAGGUGGAGCCGUAGGGAAACCGAGUUCUCACAGAGCGAUUGAGUGGCAUGCCGUAGACCCGAAACCCGGUGAUCUAUCCUUGGCCAGGUUGAAGCGCGGGUAAUACCGCGUGGAGGACCGAACCCACUGGAGUUGAAAAUCCAGGGGAUGAGCUGAGGAUUGGAGUGAAAGGCUAAUCAAACCGGGUGAUAGCUGGUUCUCCGCGAAAUAUAUUUAGGUAUAGCCUCGAGUGAAUUGCAUCGGAGGUAGAGCACUGGAUGGGCUAGGG
rnacentral:rRNA from 1 species